rnacentral:lncRNA from 1 species
UUGGCUUUUACUUACGCAAAUUUUAAAUAUGAGAAAUUAACAUUGUAAUAACCCAAAUUUACCCGGGCCUUAAAACCAGAAAAAAAUAAUAAUAAAUAAAUAAAUAUUUAUUUAUUAAAGUCCAGUUACAAUAAACAGCCCAAAUACCUAAACCCGUUUACAUUUAACCCCAUUACACCCAUACUUAAAACUAACAUCAGGCCUAAAAUACUCUUUUGACCCAAUAAAUAAACACAGACCAGCUAGCCCAAUCGGCCCAACCUACUUUCAGCUUCUGAGAAACCCUAGCUAAGAUUCGCGCCACAAAGCUUCCUCGUAAUCGCAACUGACAUCAGCCUCGGAUCACGACGUAAUCAACGCGUCUGUUCAUCUCACGACGUCCCAGCUACCCUCCAUCAACGCUGCAAGCCAAGGCGCAGUCAAUGCCUGGUCCUUCGCCACCAUUGUCAAGCUUUCAUCACUGCCGGAUUUCUCGUGAUCACCUGCAAAAGAAGAAAGAACCAACAGCAACCAAAGAAAUAGAUUUGGAAAGAAAUCAAAUGAUUUCUUUUCCUAAAAUGUAGCAAAGGGUUAUAAAAACCCCUCUUUUUCUAAUCUGUAGGGACGGUUUUUUUUUUAAAAAAGCACACAUAUAAUAAAAUACAGCGAUUUAUCGAAGAACAGAGGUGAUAUAUCUUUGCUUUUAUUUUUUCUCUUCUCUUUUAUACAUGCAAAACAUAGUAGACAAAAACAGAUUUGAAAAUCAAGAGAAAAGCAGUUCACUUUUUAAAAUUUCAUACGCGAAUAUUUAAAAAAUAAAAAUAAAAGAUUUUACCUGUGAUUCGCCUGGAAAUGGGAGGAAUUUUGAACCUCCGACCACCGUGUGCGGUGGCGCGUGAGGCCCGUGAGGCGCGUGAGGCCCGUGAGGCGCGUGCAGCGGUGGCCGACAAUCGUCGCCGGAGUUCAGGCCGAGGAGGGGGAGAGCAUUCUAGGCUCGUCUCUUUUGUUUUUUUUUUUAAAAAUAAUUUAGAAAUGAAAUUUUUGGUGUUUUUUUUAUCUUAUAUAGCUUUAUUAAAACGGCGUCGUUUUGCUUAAUUCAAUAAGCAUUAAAACGGCGUCGUUUAAACAAAAGGACCCGCGUGUCGACCCGACUCGGUCAAAGGAUCCGCGUGUUUUCUGUUAUUGGGCUAAUUUCCCAAUUGGUCCUUCCGCAUUUUUAUCCUUUAAAAUUAGGUUUAUUUAAUCUUUUAAUUUUGCUCAAAUAUUUUGUUCUUAUUUUAAUUUGGUCCUUGGGCUCUUUUAAAA